UAUGUAGGUGGUUAAGUAAGUCGAGCGCGAAAUCCAUUGGCUCAACCAAUGAACUGCACUCGAAACUGCAUAACUUGAGUUCAGGAGAGGAAAGCGGAAUUCCCGGUGUAAGAGUGAAAUCUGUAGAGAUCGGGAGGAACACCAGUGGCGAAGGCGGCUUUCUGGACUGAUACUGACACUGAAAUACGAAAGCUAGGGGAGCAAACAGGAUUAGAUACCCUGGUAGUCC
rnacentral:rRNA from 1 species